rnacentral:rRNA from 1 species
UACGUAGGGGGCAAGCGUUAUCCGGAUUUAUUGGGUUUAAAGGGUGCGUAGGCGGUAUGGUAAGUCAGCGGUAAAAGCACGGGGCUCAACCCCGGCGAGCCGUUGAAACUGCCGUGCUAGAGAGGAAGAGAAGUAGGCGGAAUGCGCAGUGUAGUGGUGAAAUGCAUAGAUAUCACGCAGAACUCCGAUUGCGAAGGCAGCAUACCGGCGCUCAACUGACGCUCAUGCACGAAAGCGUGGGUAUCGAACAGG